AAGUCGUAACAAGGUUUCCGUAGGUGAACCUGCGGAAGGAUCAUUAUUGAAUGAACUUGGUAUGGUUGUUGCUGGUCCUCUUGGGGGCAUGUGCACACCUGCCAUCCUCAUAUCUCCACCUGUGCACCUUAUGUAGGCUUGGAUUGACUUUCCGAGGCAACUCGGUUGAGAGGGCUGCCGGGGUAUUUAUUCUGGCUUUCCUUGUAUUUCCAGGUCUAUGUUUUUCAUAUACUCCAUUGUAUGUAACAGAAUGCAUCAUUGGGCCCAUUGUGCCUAUAAAACUUAUACAACUUUCAGCAACGGAUCUCUUGGCUCUC
rnacentral:misc_RNA from 1 species